rnacentral:rRNA from 1 species
ACGGAGGUGGCAAGCGUUGUUCGGAAUUACUGGGCGUAAAGGGCGCGUAGGCGGCAAGGCAAGUCAGGUGUGAAAGCCCCGGGCUUAACUCGGGAAUUGCAUCUGAAACUGCUGUGCUUGAGUUCUGGAGGGGGUAGUGGAAUUCCCAGUGUAGCGGUGAAAUGCGUAGAUAUCGAGAGGAACACCUGCGGCGAAGGCGGGUUGCUGGGCUGACACUGACGCUGAUGCGCGAAAGCCAGGGGAGCGAACGGGA